GAUGAACGCUGGCGGCGUGCUUAACACAUGCCAGUCGAACGAUGAAGCCCAGCUUGCUGGGUGGAUUAGUGGCGAACGGGUGAGUAACACGUGAGUAACCUGCCCUUGACUCUGGGAUAAGCCUGGGAAACUGGGUCUAAUACUGGAUAUGACUUCUCAUCGCAUGGUGGGGGGUGGAAAGAUUUAUUGGUCUUGGAUGGACUCGCGGCCUAUCAGCUUGUUGGUGAGGUAAUGGCUCACCAAGGCGACGACGGGUAGCCGGCCUGAGAGGGUGACCGGCCACACUGGGACUGAGACACGGCCCAGACUCCUACGGGAGGCAGCAGUGGGGAAUAUUGCACAAUGGGCGCAAGCCUGAUGCAGCGACGCCGCGUGAGGGAUGACGGCCUUCGGGUUGUAAACCUCUUUCAGUAGGGAAGAAGCGAGAGUGACGGUACCUGCAGAAGAAACGCCGGCUAACUACGUG
rnacentral:rRNA from 1 species